rnacentral:lncRNA from 1 species
UGGGGUUCAUUUGUGACGGUUGACACUCACUUGGGGUUUAUUUGUGAUGAUGGUUAUUAUCUUUGGGGUUCAUUUGUGACGGUUGUCACUCACUUGGGGUUCAUUUGUGACGGUUGUCACUCACUUGGGGUUCAUCUGUGACGUUUGUGGUGAUUAUUCACUUGGGGUUCAUCUUUGGGGUUCAUCUUUGGAUAUCUGUUUACUUUGUUGAGGUUCGUUCUGAGAACCUUUUUCUUUGGUGU